AUAUUUAUAACUGUCACACGCACCCGCAUGCAGAAAGUCUGGAAUGAUACGCGGACUGCCAACAGCGGUUACCCCAAGAAGAGGAGUUGGAGCGCGCAUGCGGGCAGCCAGGAAUGAUUUCCCAACUGAAAGGUCACUCCACGCUGACAUUUACUGCAAGGCAACGUUCUAAACUUUACAAGUAUCAAGUCAUUUUACCCUUGCCCAAGAUGCUGAGGAAGAUCAGCUCCAUCACCCUAAAUCAACAGGAAUGCACGUACUUUCAGAACCAGCCAUUCCGCUUUUAGGACCGUAUCCCACGGAAAUACCUGAACAAGUUGCUGACGGCAGGCUGCAUGCCUAUAAGAGUCACAGGCCAUGGACUUCUAUGCACCUGUCAAAAGGAGUAAAGUCGUGACCUCACGGUUCGUGGGUUGGUACCCCGUGUCAGGCUUUGCAAUGACAGCAUGGAGUCUGCUUGGGAUUCGCUCUUUCUCUCUCUCUCUGCCCCUCCCUCUCUCAAAAUAAAUAAAUAAACUUAAAAACUGAUACGUAUUUUUUUAAAAAGGAAUGUUUCGGUUGUGUAAUUACAUUUAAAAAAAUUAGUACCAAUACAUGAACUUUUUGUGGCCCAAGCGGCAGCUUGCCCACCGUUCCUCCUCCCUUAUCUCUCCCCCCUUUCCACACAAAGUCUUGUCUGCUCCUUCUCGCAUUUGCUAUCUUUGGACCUCAGACUCCUGAGCUGGCUGCAAGACCCCAGAGCCCCUCCAAACCACACUCACUAAUCCCUCUCUAAUCUCAGCUCCCCAGCAGCUCAAACCGGCUGCUGUCUCCUGUGGGAGGUGGGCAGGAGUCCCCUUGGCUGAUGCCCAUCAUAAAAAGAGGAACACAGAAAAAAAAAAAAAAAAAAGGAGCAGCUGUGGCGUAUGGAUACUCAGAGCUCCAGGACAUGGGGCCCAGAUUCUCCCAGGGAAGCGUAUUUCUUCCUCUCCUUCCUGACAUACCCAAUGCUGUCAGAGCUUUUUCUAAGAAUUUUCUAAGGGAGAGUGUUGGUCAAAACCAUUCUGAGUCCCACACUCUCCCUUGGCAAGUAAGGACCCUACAUCCAGGCUAAGCCUUUGCCACCUGCUUCUCUCCAAGCGGGGUCCCUUAACAGUUUCAGAGUCCGAACACUCACUUUGUUAACUGCUCAGGAGAGGGAUUGCAUCAGACAAGCAGCCGUCUACACCCGUGGUUCUCAGGUGUGAUGGUACACUGCAAUCACGGGGGGAGAUUUGCAAACUACUGACAUCUGGAUCCUACCCCUAGAAGUUCUUUUUUUAUUUUAACUGGAAGGUGGCCUGAGCGCUGGGAUUUUGUUACUCCCCAGGUGUCCCUAAUGUGCAGCCAUAGCUGAGAACCACUAGUUAAUGUGAUGUGUGUGUGUGUGUGUGUGUGUGUGCACCUGCUGUGUGCAUAUAUAACCCAUGUGUGGAAACCUAUCUACACACACAGAGUGCAAAACUGGAUUUCCCAGUACACAAAGUAACAUGUGCUGCUGAGGUCACCAGCAGAGAAAGGCACCCCCAAAGAAGUGUGAUAUUUAAAAAAUGAAAAGGUCAUCCUGGGGAAAAUCAGAGUCUUUUUUGGGCAUUUUUACUUAUUUUCUGAUGUGGUUUUCUUGCAUUACGUGGGGGGGAAAGGGGCCCACAAUCCUUUCCAAGCUGAGCCCUGAUCUGGCCCCACACAUUCACAAAGAGGGCUGUUUGCCCAGAAUUGUGCUCAGGUUUUCUGGUAGAAGCGUCCAGUCCCUCUGAGGGAGGGAUAGGGCACAUUGUCACUUGGUUCCCCCAGGGGAAAGCCCCAGAGUCCUGACACUGGGCUGAGGGUCAGAGGAGCCCAAGUCAGUGGUGUUCUCAGUCCUCCAAGGGCCCAGGACUUGCCUGCCCCCCAAUCGGAGUAACGGGAGUGAAGGAAGUGUGCUCCUAUACUUGCAGGCGGCCCCAGGUACCUGGGGCUCUGGCCUCAGGGUGAGGGGUGCACACGUAUGAGAUGUACACACAGGCCGGCCUAAAGCAGAUGAGAGUUGGCCAACUUGCAGGUCAUUUCCACAUCUAAGCUUGAUGAGUCAGGUAUACAAAGCGAAUCCAGACGAAGUCCUUGUGAAAGUCCUAUGAGGCAUUGAUUAGUUAAUUUUGAUCUGGGCAGUCAGGCAAGGCUUCCUGGAAGAGAUAAAAUUUGAACUGUGCCUUUAAAGAUGAGCAGGAUUGAAGAGGGAGAGGAGAGAAAGAAGCCAGGGCUGUCCCAUUCCUUCUCUCUUCCACUUCUCCUCCUUGACCUCAGAGAACCAGGCUCUGACCCAGGAGCCUGCUGCAGCCCUGAGAAGACAGAGGGCUCUGGGGGUGGCUUGGAAAGAAGGCAAAAGAUCCCUCCUUCUCACUGACCUCCUUAUGCAAUUAUCAGCCCCACAACCGAGCUAGACCAUGCACACCUAGACCAGUGGGGCUCAGUCCUCUCUCCUCUGACCCGUCUUUGAGGCCCUCAGUCUUCUUUAGAAACCCCCAUGCCCAGCCCUCGGCACCAGCUCCAGGUCAUAUCUGGGACAAAUG